rnacentral:rRNA from 1 species
UGCCAGCAGCCGCGGUAAUACGGAGGGGGUUAGCGUUGUUCGGAAUUACUGGGCGUAAAGCGUCCGCAGGCGGAUAUUUAAGUUAGAGGUGAAAUCCCGGGGCUCAACCCCGGAACUGCCUUUAAAACUGGGUAUCUAGAGUUAUGGAGAGGUAAGUGGAAUUCCUAGUGUAGAGGUGAAAUUCGUAGAUAUUAGGAGGAACACCAGAGGCGAAGGCGGCUUACUGGACAUUAACUGACGCUGAGGGACGAAAGUGUGGGUAGCAAACGGGAUUAGAUA